rnacentral:tRNA from 6 species
GCGGGAGUGGCGAAAAUUGGUAGACGCACCAGAUUUAGGAUCUGACACUAUAUUUAGUAUACGAGUUCAAAUCUCGUCUCCCGUA